rnacentral:rRNA from 1 species
AAAUCUGGCUCUUUUAGAGUCCGAGUUGUAAUUUGCAGAGGGCGCUUUGGCUUUGGCAGCGGUCCAAGUUCCUUGGAACAGGACGUCACAGAGGGUGAGAAUCCCGUACGUGGUCGCUGGCUAUUGCCGUGUAAAGCCCCUUCGACGAGUCGAGUUGUUUGGGAAUGCAGCUCUAAAUGGGAGGUACAUUUCUUCUAAAGCUAAAUAUUGGCCAGAGACCGAUAGCGCACAAGUAGAGUGAUCGAAAGAUGAAAAGCACUUUGGAAAGAGAGUCAAACAGCACGUGAAAUUGUUGAAAGGGAAGCGCUUGCAGCCAGACUUGCUUACAGUUGCUCAUCCGGGUUUCUACCCGGUGCACUCUUCUGUAGGCAGGCCAGCAUCAGUUUGGGCGGUAGGAUAAAGGUCUCUGUCACGUACCUCCUUUCGGGGAGGCCUUAUAGGGGAGACGACAUACUACCAGCCUGGACUGAGGUCCGCGCAUCUGCUAGGAUGCUGGCGUAAUGGCUGUAAGCGGCCCGUCUUGAAA